GUGCUUGCUUCAGCAGCACAUAUGCUGAAAUUGAAAUGAUACAGAGAAAAUUAGCAUGGCCCCUGCUCAAGAAUGACAUACAAAUUCACGAAGGAUUCCACAUUUUC